AGGCCAAGGGCGAAAACACGUGAACUAUGAAGUCCAACAGAAAAGACUCGAGCAAAGAAAAUAGAGCAGAUUUUUUAGACGAAUUUCAGUCGUGUUUUUUCUCUACGAGUCGUCUUGCGUCAUUUCCCUGGACAUUUUUAGAAAACGACCUGGAAAGCAGCAAAUCAUCACAAUUAAUUUUAGAUGUCCUCAAACAGACUUGUCUUCACGCGCUGUGCAAGAAGUUCCCGCCAUCAGUGCGAUACAGGAAGUUGUUUCUGGUCGAGCUGAUCAGGCGGGUGGAGGCUGCCGACUGCGAGCCUCUGGACGAGCUCUAUGACUCUCUUGCUGAGGUGGUGUCGGCCCAGGAAGCAGCGGAAGGAUACAGAACUUUCUUACUGGUACCACACACACACACACACAUACUUGGCGACAUCAUAGAGAGCGCCCAUGUUGAGUUUGUCCUGCAGCCAUGUGGCGGCACCGUCAGCUUGUUGGAGAACCUGGCAUUGAUCUCAGAGGGGACGACGGGGCUCGUGACCUGGGAGGCCGCCCACUACCUGGCCGAGUGGGCAUUGGACCACCCACAGACAUUUGCUGGCAGAAAGGUUCUGGAGCUGGGCAGUGGUGUUGGCUUCACGGGCGUCACCGUGUGUCGUUCCUGCGGCCCGUCCAAGUACGUCUUCAGCGACGGUCACAGCAGCGUCCUGCAGAGACUUGAGGACAACGUGCGGCUCAACGGACUCCUCCAAGAGGAGACGCCGCCUGAGGUCAGCGUGGAAAAGCUGGACUGGUCGGACGUGACGGAGGAACGCUUGGAUGCCAUCGGUGCCGACGUGGUUAUCGCUGCAGCCACUCCUCUUCAAAGACGUGGCGUACGAUCCAGACGUUGUAGCGGUUCUGGUCCAGCUUCUGUCCAGAAUCCUGAGGAGGAAGUGUGGGCGUGUCCUUCCUGAGGUCUUCAUCUGCUCCACGGUGAGGAAUCGGCAGACGUACGAUGGCUUCACGAAGCAGCUUGGUGACGCAGGGAUCAGCCAUCGUGUGAUCAGUGGAGCUGUUAGUCACGUGUUUCAGUACAAGCGAGUGUCAGAAGUAGAGCUGAUUAAAUUGUACGUGUGACAAUAAAAAUGUAUUUUAUUUACAAA